CCCACCGGCCGUGUGGCGGUCAGCCCCGUGGCGCCGUCCUCGUACACGGCCAGCACGCACAGAUCGUAGGUGCGGCCUGACGCCAGGCAUAUGGGAUCUCAGCUCGCAGACCACUGAUCUAACUUGCACCCCUUGCUUGGGAAGGUGAAGUCUUAACCACGGGACCGCUAGAGAAGAGGCUGCCUGCUUCACUUCCGGUGGUGCAGCCUGGGGUAUCAGUAGGUGUUCCUCCAGCCCUCCCUCCACCUCGCUCCCCCACCCGAACUGCCCGCCGCCUGGACCUGCACCUGUAAACGAGGAUGUCGUCG